GACGAACGCUGGCGGCGUGCCUAAUACAUGCAAGUCGAACGCAGUUGCGAACGGGUGAGUAACGCGUAGGAAACUGCGUCAUAGCGGGGGCUAAAUAUUGGAAACGAGAACUAAUACAGCAUACUGUACGAUGGACCUGCGUUGUAUUAGUUAGUUGGUGAGGUAAAGGCGAACCAGGGCGACGAUACAUAGCCGACCUGAGAGGGUGAUCGUCCCCGCUGGUACGGAGACACGGCCCAGACUCCUACGGGAGGAAGCAGUAGAGAAUCUUCGGCAAUGGACGGAAGUCUGACCGAGCAACGCCGCGUGAGUGACGAAGGUUUUCGGAUCGUAAAGCUCGGUUGUUAGAGACGCGGUAACUAACCAGAAAGGGACGGCUAACUACGUGCGAGCAGGCGCGGUAAUAC
rnacentral:rRNA from 1 species